ensembl:snoRNA small nucleolar RNA snR60/Z15/Z230/Z193/J17
UGGAUACAAAUGAUGAUUACAUAGUUCAGCAGAUGGCUUGUGAUGAAUAAAUGCGUUGUCUUUCGCUCCUAGCUGAUGUAUCAC